UUAUACUUGGAUUGGGUGACACCAAAUUGAGAAUGAAUUAGUCUCUUACCACACAGGUUUCUGUCAAUGACAAGGAUUUAUUGAUAUACAGAAAGAUGCAACCACUCCUUUUGAAUCAACUAGUCAGAAAGAACAAUAAUUCUACUAGAAAUUGAACUCCAGAGCAGUCAUGCAAAAAGGUGAAUUGAUGUAGACCAAAGGAAAAUUGAAGACAAUCAAGAUCUGUCUCCAUGGGAGUCAUGAGUGACUAAAAACCUCCGAAACCUUCAUUCUCAAGGCCAUGAUCAGCUCCUGCUGAGAAGGCGGCUGAUGCAAAUAGCGUCUGUGGAUUCAUACUGACUAUCUCCAAGAAGCUCCCCUCACAUAACAAGUCACCAACAAGAACAAUAUAUUAUAUAUAGUUUUGAGCAUAGAUCACCACCAGAUAAUUAUGUGCUAGCUCUACUCUAUCAGACCCACUUUUUUCCUCUCCCAUGUUUGCUAUUAGCUGGAUUCAGAUAUGAGAUAGAAGACGAGGGAUAAUCAUAUAUUGUUUCUCUUCUUUUU
rnacentral:lncRNA from 1 species